rnacentral:rRNA from 1 species
GCCGACAAGCGGCGGGGCCGCCGAAGCAACAGGGUAUAAUAGACACGGAUGGGAGGUUGGGCCCAAAGGACCCGCACUCGGUAAUGAUCCUUCCGGUAGGUGAACCUGCGGGAGGAUCAUUACCGAGUGCGGGUCCUUUGGGCCCAACCUCCCAUCCGUGUCUAUUAUACCCUGUUGCUUCGGCGGGCCCGCCGCUUGUCGGCCGCCGGGGGGGCGCCUUUGCCCCCCGGGCCCGUGCCCGCCGGAGACCCCAACACGAACACUGUCUGAAAGCGUGCAGUCUGAGUUGAUUGAAUGCAAUCAGUUAAAACUUUCAACAAUGGAUCUCUUGGUUCCGGCAUCGAUGAAGAACGCAGCGAAAUGCGAUAACUAAUGUGAAUUGCAGAAUUCAGUGAAUCAUCGAGUCUUUGAACGCACAUUGCGCCCCCUGGUAUUCCGGGGGGCAUGCCUGUCCGAGCGUCAUUGCUGCCCUCAAGCCCGGCUUGUGUGUUGGGUCGCCGUCCCCCUCUCCGGGGGGACGGGCCCGAAAGGCAGCGGCGGCACCGCGUCCGAUCCUCGAGCGUAUGGGGCUUUGUCACAUGCUCUGUAGGAUUGGCCGGCGCCUGCCGACGUUUUCCAACCAUUUUUUCCAGGUUGACCUCGGAUCAGGUAGGGAUACCCGCUGAACUUAAGCAUAUCAAUAAGCGGAGGAAUUCUAUU